GAAUUGACGGGCCCGCACAAGCAGCGGAGCGUGUGGUUUAAUUCGAUGCUACACGAAGAACCUUACCAGGGUUUGACAUACAAGUAGUAGGGAAAGGAAACUGGACGACCUUCGGGAGCUUGUACAGGUGCUGCAUGGCUGUCGUCAGCUCGUGUCGUGAGAUGUUCGGUUAAGUCCGCUAACGAGCGCAACCCUCGCUGUGUGUUACAAGUGUCACACGGAACUGCCGGUCAUAAACCGGAGGAAGGUGGGGAUGACGUCAAGUCAGCAUGGCCUUUAUAUCCAGGGCUACACACGUGCUACAAUGGUUGGUACAAAGGGUUGCCAAGCCGUGAGGCGGAGCCAAUCUCAAAAAGCCAACCUCAGUUCGGAUUGCAGUCUGCAACUCGACUGCAUGAAGUUGGAAUCGCUAGUAAUCGCUGAUCAGCAGGCAGCGGUGAAUACGUUCCCGGGCCUU
rnacentral:rRNA from 1 species